UGGAAUUAAAAAUAAAAACAAAUAAUAUUAGUACUACUAUUCGCAUGAAAUAAGAACAAUAAUUAAAAAGAGAAUUUCUAUUAUAUAAAUAAAAGAAAGUGACAAAUACUCCCUGACAGUAGUACCACAACUGAUUGGAAUAAGAGAAAGGACAAACUCUAAAUAUCUUACUCCUUCCUACACUAGUGAAAAACUGAGAAAAAGAAAAUAACAAGUGGUGCCUUUCUCUAAAACAAGAGGCCUAUUUAUAGGGAAAAAAGCUUUGAACCCUAAUUUAGAUUCAUUGAACUUGGACACUUUGAUUCCCUUUCCAUGUAGGAUUCAAUUUCCUAGUAGCAAUCAACUUCUCAAAAAGAUCUUCUAGAUAGACUUUUCUUUCUCUUGUUGGAUUUGAAUUGCACACUAAGAUUGUUCCACCUCUUUCCUUCUCCUUGUAGGAUUCUUCUUGGACAUUCCUUAUAUGAAUAAGAGCAUUAAAUAUUGCUUGAUCACCAAAAUUUUGACUUUAUUGCAAUAAAUAUUAAAUCCUACAAAAUAAAAUAAAACAUAUUAAUUUAAUAAACUAAUAUAAUUAAAAGGACAAAAUUAGGGAUAAUUAAAUGUAUAAAUUACGUUUCUAUCAGACAGGUCACACACAAAUUGUUUACUGAAGUGAACAUUGCAAAGAAAUAAGUUUAUCUCCCCCACUUGACAUGACACAGGUCAUAUGAGCAAACAAUUCUGUCAAUUAAACUUGCUAAAAUACAUUUCAUUGCUAUACUGCAUAUAGCAAAACGUACAAGUGUGAGAUACAGGUGCAUAAGGAUAUGAGCACAUGGAUAUGAAGAUUCUUAAAAAUUAGGAAUAAAACAAUUAAUUAUUAAUUCUCCAUUCAUAUCUUAUUAUUAAUUCUCCAUCAUUUAACAUUCAAAAAAUGGAAUCAAUUGUUAAGCAAGGAGAAAAUUAGACAUGAAAUCAUAACCCAAAUUAAACUGUAAGGAUACACAGAGUAAAAAUUGCUAAGAUAAUCGAAAAACCCUCUUCUUCUUUUGGGUAAUAAAGUGACCAUUUUGAAGAAAAACAAUUAAACCUAAAUUAGAUAAUAAACACAUAAAAGAAACUCAAACUGAAGAUUCUGAAGAACCAAAUUAAACCCAAAUUAAUCCCCAACAAAACAACAUGCAGUCAUGACUCAUGCACACGAAUCUUGCAUUCUUGCUACUGAAUUAGUGAUUAGUGAAUGAAAUAUACCUGGAGUCGGACUAGGGAGAUCCGAAGAGAGCCGAAGUCGCCGAACUGCAAAAGGUGUGAAGAGAUCUAUGAAGAGAUCAAGAGAUCCGGAGCAGAGAAGCAAGAAGGGGCUGAUGAAUAUUUCAGAUCUGUGACUGUGAGCGACGGCCGACGGCUACUCGGCGACGGCUACUCGACUCGACGACUACAGACUAGUACUAGUCUCGUAGAUAUUCAUAUUAGUCUAAUAGUCUUAUUAGAUAAUAGAUACCACGACAGCAAG
rnacentral:lncRNA from 1 species